UACGUAGGGUGCAAGCGUUGUCCGGAAUUAUUGGGCGUAAAGAGCUCGUAGGCGGUCUGUCGCGUCUGCUGUGAAAACUCAGGGCUUAACCCUGAGCUUGCAGUGGGUACGGGCAGACUAGAGUGCGGUAGGGGAGACUGGAAUUCCUGGUGUAGCGGUGAAAUGCGCAGAUAUCAGGAGGAACACCGGUGGGCGAAGGCAGCUCGCUGGGACGGUACUGACGCUGGAGGCGACGAAAGCGUGGGGAGCAAACAGG
rnacentral:rRNA from 1 species